rnacentral:rRNA from 1 species
ACGUAGGGUGCGAGCGUUAAUCGGAAUUACUGGGCGUAAAGCGCGCGCAGGCGGUUCGCUAAGUCAGAUGUGAAAUCCCGGGGCUCAACCUGGGAAUGGCGCUUGAGACUGGCGGACUAGAGUACGGUAGAGGGGGGUGGAAUUCCACGUGUAGCGGUGAAAUGCGUAGAGAUCUGGAGGAACACCGAUGGCGAAGGCAGCCCCCUGGACCGAUACUGACGCUCAUGCGCGAAAGCGUGGGGAGCAAACAG